UACGUAGGAUGCAAGCGUUGUCCGGAAUUAUUGGGCGUAAAGAGCGCGCAGGCGGUAUGACAAGUCAGAUGUGAAAGAGGCCGGCUUAACCGGCAAGGGUCAUUUGAAACUGUCAGACUAGAGUGCAGCAGAGGAUAGUGGAAUUCCCGGUGUAGUGGUGAAAUGCGUAGAGUAUCGGGAGGAACACCAGGUGGCGAAGGCGACUAUCUGGGCUGCAACUGACGCUGAGGCGCGAAGGCUAGGGUAGCAAACAGG
rnacentral:rRNA from 1 species